AAACCUUGUUUACCAACAUUGAUCACAACCAUCUGGAAUUGCGCAGGGUACUUCGGAAUUGUUUGAUACAUGGGAAGAUUCCUAACUACUUUAAGGAUAUGAUGUAUCUUAAUACCAUAGACCUCAGUUUCAACAAUCUUCCUUUUCCCAACUAGAAAAUGUGGACCACAUGUAUGUGAAUUAUCUUUCACAAUAUUUUCUUGUCUUCUAAUUAGUAACCAUUAUCAAUUCUCUAUGUGUGUACAUUAUUUUAAUAGUUAUUUGACAAAAAAUAAUCUUACUGGAGCUAUCCCUGGAUGGGUCUUAUCAAGCACCAAGAAUGUGGAUGUUUCGUAUAAUCAUUUUACCUGGGAUGCUAGUUCUGGUCCAAGAAAAUGUGAUCAAGGGACAAUAAACGUGGUGGAGGGCUAUUCUUCGUCAACAAAUGAACAGUAAGACACAUGACCCUAACUCUUUAUUUGAGGUCACACCAAUAAC